GGCACUGGUAGCCUUGCUCUGGUCAGCACCGCCGACCGGGCCAUUAAAAGUCCCAUUAGCAGUGCUGCCCAGCUAAGGCUGGCUAGUCCCUACCUGUUCUGACACUGCGCUGCACCCCGGAUGCGGCCAGCAGCUGGUCCAACUCCUAGGCAGGGGGUCAUGGGGCUCUGUGUGCUGCCCCCGCCCCGAGCACCGGCUCCACACUCCCAUUGGCUGGUU